GAUGAACGCCAGCGGCAGGCUUAACACAUGCAAGUCGAGGGGCAGCAUGGUCUUCGGACUGAUGGCGACCGGCAAACGGGUGCGGAACACGUACAGAAUCUGCCUUUAUCUGGGGGAUAGCCUUUGGAAACGAAGAUUAAUACCCCAUAGUAUUAUUAGGUGGCAUCACCUUGAUAAUUAAAGAAUUUCGGAUAGAGAUGACUGUGCGUACUAUUAGCUAGUUGGUAGGGUAACGGCCUACCAAGGCUACGAUAGUUAGCUGAUGUGAGAGCAUGAUCAGCCACACGGGCACUGAGACACGGGCCCGACUCCUACGGGAGGCAGCAGUGAGGAAUAUUGGUCAAUGGGCGCAAGCCUGAACCAGCCAUGCCGCGUGAAGGAUGAAGGCGUUCUGCGUCGUAAACUUCUUUUACCUGGGAAGAAACCUACCUUUUCUAAGGUAGCCGACGGUACCAGAGGAAUAAGCACCGGCUAACUCCGUGCCAGCAGCCGCGGUAA
rnacentral:rRNA from 1 species